AACGAACGCUGGCGGCAGGCCUAACACAUGCAAGUCGAACGCCCCGCAAGGGGAGUGGCAGACGGGUGAGUAACGCGUGGGAACGUGCCCUUCGGUUCGGAAUAACUCAGGGAAACUUGAGCUAAUACCGGAUACGUCCGUAAGGAGAAAGAUUUAUCGCCGAAGGAUCGGCCCGCGUCGGAUUAGCUAGUUGGUGAGGUAACGGCCCACCAAGGCGACGAUCCGUAGCUGGUCUGAGAGGAUGAUCAGCCACACUGGGACUGAGACACGGCCCAGACUCCUACGGGAGGCAGCAGUGGGGAAUCUUGGACAAUGGGCGCAAGCCUGAUCCAGCCAUGCCGCGUGAGUGAAGAAGGCCUGCGGGUUGUAAAGCACUUUCAGUAGGAAGAAAAGACCGAGUGCUAAUAUCACUCGGUCUUGACGUUACUUACAGAAGAAGCACCGGCUAACUCCGUGCCAGCAGCCGCGGUAAC
rnacentral:rRNA from 1 species